CCUACGGGUGGCAGCAGUGAGGAAUAUUGGUCAAUGGGCGGGAGCCUGAACCAGCCAAGCCGCGUGAGGGAAGAAGGUACAGCGUAUCGUAAACCUCUUUUGUCAGGGAACAAAGGCGGGGACUAGUCCCCGGAUGAGGGUACCUGAAGAAAAAGCAUCGGCUAACUCCGUGCCAGCAGCCGCGGUAAUACGGAGGAUGCGAGCGUUAUCCGGAUUUAUUGGGUUUAAAGGGUGCGCAGGCGGUCUGUUAAGUCAGCGGUCAAAGCCCGGGGCUCAACCCCGGCCCGCCGUUGAAACUGGCAGUCUCGAGUUGGAGAGAAGUAUGCGGAAUGCGCGGUGUAGCGGUGAAAUGCAUAGAUAUCGCGCAGAACUCCGAUUGCGAAGGCAGCAUGCCGGCUCCACACUGACGCUGAGGCACGAAAGCGUGGGUAUCGAACAGGAUUAGAUACCCGAGUAGUC
rnacentral:rRNA from 1 species